rnacentral:rRNA from 1 species
AGUGAACGCUGGCGGCGUGCCUAAUACAUGCAAGUCGAACGGAAUUUAAAAGAGCUUGCUCUUUUAAAUUUAGUGGCGCACGGGUGAGUAAUAUAUAGCUAAUCUGCCCCUUGCUGGAGGACAACAGUUAGAAAUGACUGCUAAUACUCCAUACUCCUUUUUACCAUAAGAUAAAUCGGGAAAGAAUUUCGGCAAGGGAUGAGACUAUAUCGUAUCUGCUAGUCGGUGGGGUAACGGCCUACCGAGGCUAUGACGCGUAACUGGUCUGAGAGGAUGAUCAGUCACAUUGGAACUGAGACACGGUCCAAACUCCUACGGGAGGCAGCAGUAGGGAAUAUUGCGCAAUGGGGGAAACCCUGACGCAGCAACGCCGCGUGGAGGAUGACACUUUUCGGAGCGUAAACUCCUUUUGUUAGGGAAGAAUAAUGACGGUACCUAACGAAAA